AUAAUUUGAUUUUAUUUUGUUAUUAUUUGUUUUGAGUAAAUGAAACACAAACUACAGUUAGUUAAGUUAUUUGUAUAUUGAUAUAAUUGAUAACAAACAGUUAAAAUGAACAGUUAAUAUCACAAUUAAUAAUGAUAAUCUGGUAAGCCUGUUGCGAGAUGGUUUACUAUUUUUUUUUAUUCGACUGGGCUUCAAGUUUGCAUUGUGUCCC
rnacentral:lncRNA from 1 species